UACGAAGGGUGCAAACGUUGCUCGGAAUUAUUGGGCGUAAAGCGCACGUAGGCGGCUUUGCAAGUCCCAUGUGAAAUCCCACGGCUCAACCGUGGAAGUGCAUGGGAAACUGCAGAGCUUGAGUACUUAAGAGGAUCGCGGAAUUCCCGGUGUAGAGGUGAAAUUCGUAGAUAUCGAGAGGAACACCUGUGGCGAAGGCGGCCUUCUGGACGGUGACUGACGCUGAGACGCGAAAGCGUGGGGAGCAAACAGG
rnacentral:rRNA from 1 species